rnacentral:rRNA from 1 species
CACCGGAGCUUGCUCCACCGAAAGAAAAAGAGUGGCGAACGGGUGAGUAACACGUGGGUAACCUGCCCAUCAGAAGGGGAUAACACUUGGAAACAGGUGCUAAUACCGUAUAACACUAUUUUCCGCAUGGAAGAAAGUUGAAAGGCGCUUUUGCGUCACUGAUGGAUGGACCCGCGGUGCAUUAGCUAGUUGGUGAGGUAACGGCUCACCAAGGCAACGAUGCAUAGCCGACCUGAGAGGGUGAUCGGCCACACUGGGACUGAGACACGGCCCAGACUCCUACGGGAGGCAGCAGUAGGGAAUCUUCGGCAAUGGACGAAAGUCUGACCGAGCAACGCCGCGUGAGUGAAGAAGGUUUUCGGAUCGUAAAACUCUGUUGUUAGAGAAGAACAAGGAUGAGAGUAAAAUGUUCAUCCCUUGACGGUAUCUAACCAGAAAGCCACGGCUAACUACGUGCCAGCAGCCGCGGUAAUACGUAGGUGGCAAGCGUUGUCCGGAUUUAUUGGGCGUAAAGCGAGCGCAGGCGGUUUCUUAAGUCUGAUGUGAAAGCCCCCGGCUCAACCGGGGAGGGUCAUUGGAAACUGGGA